rnacentral:rRNA from 1 species
UCCCUGACCGCGUAUGAAAGUACGUUUCACCUCGGGUGACAGGGAGACAGGUGGUGCGAUGGUUGUCGUCAGCUCGUGUCGUGAGAUGUUGGUUAAGCCCGCAACGAGCGCAACCCCUACGUUAGUUGCUAACGCGUGAAGGCGAGCACUCUAGACGAACUGCCGUUGACAAAACGGAGGAAGGUGGGAUGACGUCAAAUCAUCAUGCCCCUUAUGUUCUGGGCUACACACGUGCUACAAUGGCCGGUACAGACGGACGCAAAGCCGCGAGGUGGAGCAAAUCCUAAAAAGCCGGUCUCAGUUCGGAUUGCAGGCUGCAAUUCGCCUGCAUGAAGUCGGAAUCGCUAGUAAUCGCAGGUCAGCACACUGCGGUGAAUACGUUCCCGGGCCUU